GGUUGUGGCUCAGUGGCAGAGCACUUGCCUCGCGUGCGUGAGGCACUGGGUUCGAGCCUCAGCACCA
rnacentral:tRNA from 1 species